CGCAGAGGACCCAUCUCGAAACGUGGGAAACCAGCGCUGCUAUUUUUAGGAAAAGGGUGGAGAAUGGAGGAUGGACCAGCCCAGGAGAAGGCACAGCCAUCAGCCACUUCACCCAGUAGCUGAGCCACUCACGGCCCCGUCUGCGAUGAAGACAGAAGGUCCACCUCCGCUAGUACCGCAGAAGCUCAAAGAGGAACACAUAACUCAUACAAGGUUAAAGAGGCCGGCUCCAGAGCGAGCGCUGUGCGAGGAGAUGCUCUCUCUCUAGCGGCAUUCUGGGCGAUUACUCCCGAGCACCCAGCCAUACCAAAAUCAAUAAACAAUUUCAGCGCAGCCCAGGGAACUUUGCCACACUUAAUAAAAGUCUCCAGCUGCAGUUAUGGCUUCAUUUCACCUUAACGUCUUCUUUAACUGUCCCUUCUUUUCAAGAUCAAUUAGAGGUACAUGCAAAGAGAAUAAAGAAAUCCGCACGUGCGGGCGCACACACGCUAACAUAGAUACCGCAAGCAAACAAGGUCUAAACUAGUUCCGUGUGUGGGUGGGCUCUCCCCUCCCACUCGAAAUUUCCACUUUAGGGUGACCAACAGUGGAGACGUUUAGGGAUGGGGUUGGGAGCAUGGAAUUCGGUUGAGGGGGGGUGAAGG
rnacentral:lncRNA from 9 species